UGAAAACAUACUUCCUGGGGAUGAUAAGGGGCCCACAGAGCCGUCUUUGUUGGUUUAAAUCCACCAAGACGAGCAGCUUGAAUCACAUGGAAUUCCCUUAUGAGUCCUCCAUAGAGGACUGUUUCACUGGCAUUCAGGACCACCACUACAACUUCCUGGAUGUUUUUUUUUUGAGCUGAUUUUCUUCAGCUACUUUAUAAAUGGCUCAAAACCUCAGCC